CUAGAUCAAAUGUCAUGUUCUCAGUGCCUUUUCUGAAUCAUAGAGCUGCAUCCACAGAUGGAUGUUUCCUGUGUACCUCCCCUGAGCCAGUCACAAGAUCUGGAUCCUGAGCAGCCCCCAGGGGAAGGGAGGAGAGCUCCUUCAGCACGUGGUCACACGCCCUCUGAGUAACUCUCCUCCUGGGCACACCUGGCUCCUUACUGACCCAUUACCACUCAAAGGCCCUGGAACACUGUCCUGUACUCAGCACGAUCCAGAUCAAAAGCUGCUGCUGGGGGAAAAGGUCUUCAUCGAUGGUCACCUGUGCUUCCUGAGGCAGUUAAGUUUCCCCUACGGCAUGAUGUGUCAUGUAAGAGUACAAUCCCUGGAAUAAAGUACGCAUUGUCAAAUGCCUGGGGACGUGACUCAGUUUCCAAAGAGCACCCAGGCUUCAUCGGCUGAUGUCACCCUUGGGUACAACAAGCAAAGCCCACUCUCAUCAUGACCGAGGCACCUCUGCCGGCCGUGUGUCAUGGAAAGGGGGACAGCAGGCCUGUCUGGUAUGGAAUCUGCACAUGUCCCUACAAGAACUGCACGGGUCUUCUCUCUUCGACCCAGAGGUCCCGCAGCUGACUGAGUCACACAUAAAGGAUUACAAAGUAUUGUAAAAAGUAAGGCGAACUAAACAGAACCAUCUGACUUAGAGUUAUACUAGUCCUGAGUCAACCUUUAUAGACACAAGGAGGUGGCAGCUGAGAUUUGUUCCUUCCUGGUUGGCAUAAACCAAAUGACAGGCAGGGACUCAGAAAGCUUGCUCUGUAAAGCGAUACUUCUGUAAACCAAAAGGACACAUAAAUUACA